UACGGAGGGGGCUAGCGUUGUUCGGAAUUACUGGGCGUAAAGCGCACGUAGGCGGCGAUUUAAGUCAGAGGUGAAAGCCCGGGGCUCAACCCCGGAAUAGCCUUUGAGACUGGAUUGCUAGAAUCUUGGAGAGGCGAGUGGAAUUCCGAGUGUAGAGGUGAAAUUCGUAGAUAUUCGGAAGAACACCAGUGGCGAAGGCGGCUCGCUGGACAAGUAUUGACGCUG
rnacentral:rRNA from 1 species